UUUUGCCCAGCAGACUGCAUGGAUCCUUCUCACAGUGUGGAACCUCUGACACUGGGCAGCCGUCCCAAAUACAUAAGGCCCCUACCCUGCUCAGCCCAGUCUGCCAAGCUCCAACUCUGGUUUGAUGUUCCUCCAAAAUCCAACAGGAAUAAGGAGUUCCUUCUUCUUAAAGCUGAGCAAGAACAUACAGGACCAACACUCUAACCCUAACCUUCUCAAUCACAAGUUGACAUGAUGAAAGAAACUAAAAUUAUUAGGCUGUUCUAGUGUCAUCAUUACUUCCCCCCCAAAAAACAAUUUAUGUGGAGUUACAACUGUAGGCUCCAGUGAAGAAGCAGUGCAUCCUCUAUUGGCUCAGCACUGAUGAGACACUGUGCUCACUAUUUGUAUUACCGUCAAAAACAAUUACUUCAACAUGCUCAAGUUUCAAAUGUGAGUGAAUAACUGUAUAUCAUCAUGAAGCCAUACCCCAGACAAACUGUAGACAUCAUUGUUUCCAUUGUAUUCAAUCUUUUUUGUAAUUAUCACUUAUUUCCAAAGAUUCCCUGCUAUUUUCCAAUUCCACCCCUGUGUGUUAGUUCUAAACUAUAAAUUAUGUCACUCACUCUGCCACUGGGCUUCUCGCUCAUUAUGGCUAAACUGAUAACACAUGCAGAGAAGCUUUUAACUGUUAGAACAUUUCAACACUAAACAGCUGACUAUGUCAGAGCUUUUAAAGGGCUAGCACAUCAAAAAUCAAUUUGAAGCUGAAGAUCAAUGUGUUUAGCCAUGUUGUAGUAAAACACAUCAAUACAGGCUGAGGGGUUCAAAGCUCUUACUAAAAUUCAAAUCUAACACAGUCUCAUACAAAGAUUGGAGUUAUCAUCCCUGUUUUAGUGUAGUUUUGUACCUUUCCAAAUGGUGCACAGA